GGGUAGUUCCUGUGUGAUUUCUAAAUUACAUUCCUAUGCCCGUGUAAGGCAUAUCACUGUGUCUCGGCUGCUGCAGUAUUUUGGGAAAGUAUUUAAGAUGUUCUUUACUUUGUAUAACCUAUAAUGCUGAGUACAGAAUGGGCUGAGCAGAUUGGGCAGCUCAGAACUGUAAAUGUGAGUGUAUCAAGUAAUGUAAUAAAGAAAGACACUCUGGAAAGGUAAAUGAGGAUACUUUAAUGGGGCCUCUGUGCCUGGUGACAUUUGUGAUUCUCUACUUUGAGAAUUAGAUUUAUGAGAUACUUAGUAUUGUCAAGACCUCAGAAAAUCUAAGUGCUAUCACCUUUGUGUAAGUUCCUCAGCUCUUAAACUCUUCCGUGAUGUACAAAAAAUAAAGGGGGAUAGUGAUUGGAUUUUAUAAUCAUGCUCUUAAGCUCGUGUGAUGUACAAGUCUGUUUAAAUGAAUAAUAAAAAUACCAUUGGGAUAUUU